GUUCCGAUACCCCAUUAGUCCGACACUCCAAUAGUCCGACAAAGUUUAAUAACUGCAGUAAUUGAAAAUCUACUUCAUGAGGGUGUGGAUGGGGUUUACAGAACAGAGAACAUAUGGGGCGAAUAUAUACAGAAUAGAGAAAAAAGGACCAAGAAAUAAAGAAAAGCGUAUAAUAAGAUGCUAAAAUAUAAAUACAUACAAAUUAAAGUAUACAGAAAUGUAUGCCCCCCC
rnacentral:lncRNA from 1 species